rnacentral:piRNA from 1 species
UUUGGCAGCUACUUGGGGAAGCAGG